rnacentral:tRNA from 2 species
GCGCCCGUGGCUCAACGGAUAGAGCAUCGGAUUUCGGCUCCGAGGGUUGCGGGUUCAAAUCCUGCCGGGCGCACCA